AGCGAACGCUGGCGGCAGGCUUAACACAUGCAAGUCGAACGGGUACCUUCGGGUGCUAGUGGCAGACGGGUGAGUAACACGUGGGAACGUACCUUUCGGUUCGGAAUAAUACAGGGAAACUUGUACUAAUACCGGAUACGCCCUUUGGGGGAAAGAUUUAUCGCCGAAAGAUCGGCCCGCGUCUGAUUAGCUAGUUGGUG
rnacentral:rRNA from 1 species